GGAUGUGAUCAUACCAGCACUAAAGCACCAGAUCCCAUCAGAACUCCGAAGUUAAGCGUGCUUGGGCGAUAGUAGUACUAUGAUGGAUGACCUCCUGAUAAGUCCUCGUGUUGGAUUCC
rfam:Zea mays cultivar B73 chromosome 2, whole genome shotgun sequence.